rnacentral:rRNA from 1 species
CGUGGGUAACCUGCCUUGUACUGGGGGAUAGCAGCUGGAAACGGCUGGUAAUACCGCAUAAGCGCACAAUGUUGCAUGACAUGGUGUGAAAAACUCCGGUGGUAUAAGAUGGACCCGCGUCUGAUUAGCUAGUUGGUGAGAUAACAGCCCACCAAGGCGACGAUCAGUAGCCGGCCUGAGAGGGUGACCGGCCACAUUGGGACUGAGACACGGCCCAG